CUGUAUUUAGUUGAUAUUAAAACAUAAUUCUACGCUCUUCUAAGCCGUAGGUCACAGGUUCGAAUCCUGUAGGGCGUACCA
rnacentral:tRNA from 2 species